GAUGAGCGCUGGCGGCGUGCCUAAUACAUGCAAGUCGAGCGAACGGACGAGAAGCUUGCUUCUCUGAUGUUAGCGGCGGACGGGUGAGUAACACGUGGAUAACCUACCUAUAAGACUGGGAUAACUUCGGGAAACCGUAGCUAAUACCGGAUAAUAUUUUGAACCGCAUGGUUCAAAAGUGAAAGACGGUCUUGCUGUCACUUAUAGAUGGAUCCGCGCUGCAUUAGCUAGUUGGUAAGGUAACGGCUUACCAAGGCAACGAUGCAUAGCCGACUUGAGAGGGUGAUCGGCCACACUGGAACUGAGACACGGUCCAGACUCCUACGGGAGGCAGCAGUAGGGAAUCUUCCGCAAUGGGCGAAAGCCUGACGGAGCAACGCCGCGUGAGUGAUGAAGGUCUUCGGAUCGUAAAACUCUGUUAUUAGGGAAGAACAUAUGUGUAAGUAACUGUGCACAUCUUGACGGUACCUAAUCAGAAAGCCACGGCUAACUACGUG
rnacentral:rRNA from 1 species